rnacentral:rRNA from 1 species
GACGAACGCUGGCGGCGUGCUUAACACAUGCAAGUCGAACGGAAAGGCCCUGCUUUUGUGGGGUGCUCGAGUGGCGAACGGGUGAGUAACACGUGAGUAACCUGCCCUUGCCUUUGGGAUAACUUCAGGAAACUGGGGCUAAUACCGGCUAGGAGCUCCUGAUGCAUGGUGGGGGUUGGAAAGUUUCGGCGGUUGGGGAUGGACUCGCGGCUUAUCAGCUUGUUGGUGGGGUAGUGGCUUACCAAGGCUUUGACGGGUAGCCGGCCUGAGAGGGUGACCGGCCACAUUGGGACUGGGAUACGGCCCAGACUCCUACGGGAGGCAGCAGUGGGAAAUAUUGCACAAUGGGCGGAAGCCUGAUGCAGCAACGCCGCGUGCGGGAUGACGGCCGUCGGGUUGUAAACCGCUUGCGCCUGUGACGAAGCGUGAGUGACGGUAAUGGGUAAAGAAGCACCGGCUAACUACGUG